GAUGAACGCUGGCGGCGUGCCUAAUACAUGCAAGUCGAGCGAACAGACGAGGAGCUUGCUCCUCUGACGUUAGCGGCGUACGGGUGAGUAACACGUGGAUAACCUACCUAUAAGACUGGGAUAACUUCGGGAAACCGGAUCUAAUACCGGAUAAUAUAUUGAACCGCAUGGUUCAAUAGUGAAAGACGGUUUUGCUGUCACUUAUAGAUGGAUCCGCGCCGCAUUAGCGAGUUGGUAAGGUAACGGCUUACCAAGGCAACGAUGCGUAGCCGACCUGAGAGGGUGAACGGCCACACUGGAACUGAGACACGGUCCAGACUCCUACGGGAGGCAGCAGUAGGGAAUCUUCCGCAAUGGGCGAAAGCCUGACGGAGCAACGCCGCGUGAGUGAUGAAGGUCUUCGGAUCGUAAAACUCUGUUAUUAGGGAAGAACAAAUGUGUAAGUAACUAUGCACGUCUUGACGGUACCUAAUCAGAAAGCCACGGCUAACUACGUG
rnacentral:rRNA from 1 species